ensembl:snRNA U6 U6 spliceosomal RNA
UUGCUUCAGCAGCACAUGUACUAAAACUGGAACGAUAAAGAGAAGAUUGGCAUGGUCCCUGAGCAAGGAUGGCAGGCAAAUUUGUGAAGCAUUCUAUACUUUC